rnacentral:rRNA from 7 species
UGACCUCAGAUCAGGUAGGGAUACCCGCUGAACUUAAGCAUAUCAAUAA